AUGUUGGCGCCGGACGGGUGAGUAACACGUGGGUAACCUGCCCAUAAGACUGGGAUAACUCCGGGAAACCGGGGCUAAUACCGGAUAACAUUUUGAACCGCAUGGUUCGAAAUUGAAAGGCGGCUUCGGCUGUCACUUAUGGAUGGACCCGCGUCGCAUUAGCUAGUUGGUGAGGUAACGGCUCACCAAGGCAACGAUGCGUAGCCGACCUGAGAGGGUGAUCGGCCACACUGGGACUGAGACACGGCCCAGACUCCUACGGGAGGCAGCAGUAGGGAAUCUUCCGCAAUGGACGAAAGUCUGACGGAACAACGCCGCGUGAGUGAUGAAGGCUUUCGGGUCGUAAAACUCUGUUGUUAGGGAAGAACAAGUGCUAGUUGAAUAAGCUGGCACCUUGACGGUACCUAACCAGAAAGCCACGGCUAACUACGUGCCAGCAGCCGCGGUAAUACGUAGGUGGCAAGCGUUAUCCGGAAUUAUUGGGCGUAAAGCGCGCGCAGGUGGUUUCUUAAGUCUGAUGUGAAAGCCCACGGCUCAACCGUGGAGGGUCAUUGGAAACUGGGAGACUUGAGUGCAGAAGAGGAAAGUGGAAUUCCAUGUGUAGCGGUGAAAUGCCUACAGAUAUGGAGGAACACCACUGGCGAAGGCGACUUUCUGGUCUGUAACUGACACUGAGGCGCGCAAGCGUGGAGAGCAAACAGAUUAGAUACCCUGGUAGUUCACGCGCGUUAACGAUGAGUGCUCAUUUGUAGAGGGUUUCCGCCCUUACUGUUCACGUUAGGCACUAA
rnacentral:rRNA from 1 species